rnacentral:lncRNA from 1 species
AUAUUUUUCUGAUUUUUUGUGAAUUAGUUAUGAAGAACCACCACUGAUAGGUGAUUUUUGGGAUUUUCGGGUUUCACAUAUCAUAUUUUUCAUGGAAGUCGCCUAUAGCCUAUUUUGUAGUAGUAAGACCGGCGAGAUCUGGCCAUUGGAAGGGCCAGGUGGGGAGGGAUCCAGCGUGGGGGAGUUAUAAAGUUUGUGGAAUAAUAAUAAAAAAAGGAGAAAAUACUCAUCAAAUCUGUGCAUCACGACCUCCGAUGAUGGCAUGUCACGGCGAGCACAACGGCAGGAUCCAGCCGUAGGAAGGCCGGUGGGGCGGAUCUGGUGCGAGGGAGUUUUUAAGUUUGGAUAAGAAUUAAGAAAGGAAAAAGUUACACACAGAUAUGUGCAGGAUGAGCUCCAACGACGGCGCAUGGCACCGUACAACGACAGGAUCCGGUGCGGGGGAGUUUUUAAGUUUGCAGAAGAAUUAAAAAAGGAACAAAAAUACUCACUAGAUCAGUGCGGGACGAGUUCCGAUGUCGACGCGUAGUAGCAAGCACAACGCAAGAUCCGACCAUAGGAAGGCCAGGUGGGGAGUUUCUAAGUUUGGUGCUGAAUAAGAAAAGAAAAAAAUACUCUUCAAAUCUGUGUAGGACGACCUCCGAUCGAUGACGGUGCGUGGCGCGGUGAGAACAAUGUCCGAUCCAACCAUUGGAAGGCCAGGUGGGGCGUGAUCCGGCACGAGGGAGGACAGCGAUGGCGCGGAUCCACGCACACGCGCGC